rnacentral:rRNA from 1 species
UGAGAGUUGGGAAUACCCGAAGCCUGUGAGCUAACUUUUAGAGGCAGCAGUCGAAGGUAGAAUCAAUGAUUGGGGUGAAGUCGUAACAAGGUAGC